GGGGCCGCGGGCCCGGGGCCGGCCGGCGCCUGGCCGCCGUGGUGUGCCUGCUGUGCGCCAUCACGCCCGCGGCCGCGCUGGCCUGGCUGAUCCGCAGGAGGAGCCUCUAGGCGAGAGGGGCGCUGGCCGGAGCGGGGAGCAGGCGGGACGCGCAACAGGCUGGAGAGAACCCUGUGCCCUUGGAGAAAAUUGUUUCCCCUUUUCCUACAGGGAUCCAGAGCCUGAGCAGCAGCUGUGAAGAGUGGAGAGAAAGAAAGAAGUGGAAGAUGUUGGAAGUGCUUUGGGCAACGUGAAGAAGGAUUUGCACAGAAGGAGCUGUUCAAGGGCCCAGCAGCAAACCAGAGACACAUACAUGCUUAUAUAUAGAAGAAUGUAAACCCUCCUGUAUGCAUACGUUAAGACGUGCAUGCCUUGUUGAGAACGUAAGCAACAUUCCUUGUAGAUGAUGGUGGUGUGAGCAUUCGUGCUCCUGCAGUCUGAGUCAAAAGAUUAGUGAUGUCCUUGCUGUAACACUGGCAGUUUCUCCACUGCACCUUGUUUAUGGCAACAUAAACGUUCCUUUUGAUGCAGUGGGGUGGAAAAUACAUCCAGAGUUAAGUACUACCUUGAGAGACCAAGCUUGCUGCGGGACGGGCACAGCCUUGCCGUGGGGCGGGCACGGGUGCUUGGCAGCUUGGACGACAGACAGUGUAUGUGUGUAUAUAUUCAGUGCUAUAGCACCAGGUGAGAUAAGCUGUUCUUCUGACUUUAGUUUCUCUGGUGCUACAUUUCAUAUUUGUCUGGGGCUAAACUGCCUCUCUGUGGUGCUACAGUUUCCCUGAGAGGAUGUUCUGAAACAUGGGACAAGGAAAAAUCUAUUUUGGUUAUUGAUAUUUAUACACAAGACAGCAAAAAAGUACUACUUGUUGAGAAGGUGCUAUUACUUUUUCUUUCUUUCAAUCUCUGCAUAAAUUAAGACAAAAGAAUCUAGCCCAGAACUUUAUAGAACUCAUUUUCUUUGGGGCAGUUCUUUUUCUUUGGAUGGUUGGGAGCUUGGGAAGCAGCAUUCGCUGGGCUGGCAGUGACACCAGCUCUUUUCACUGCAGUGGACGUCUGCUGGUGCAGAAUCUCCUACAGCUCCAGAGCUGGGUAUCCUCCUGGAUGGUGAUUUAAGCCUCAAAUCCCAUGAACCAGGGAAGGGAACUGCACCUAGACUAAUCAGUGAACUGGGGGAUAACAGGAGAACCUGUCCUUAGAAAGCAAAGGGCUUUUUCAGUCUAGUACAGCGCACUUUUUUCUUGCAGCCAAAACUACCUGUCAGAUGUAGGAUACCUUCCAGAUGCUAUUGACAGUGAUCACUAUGUGCAGGGUUUUAGAAACAUUUCUCCCAGCUUCAGAUAUUUGCACCACAAAAUUGACCCUCCUGUGGCAGGGGGGGCGGUUUCAAAGGCAUAAAGGAAUGUCAGGAACCUGAUUUCCAAAGGAAGUUUGGCUCCCUGUCUUUUAAAACCCCUGACCCUCACCCAAGGCACACGGCAAGUCAAACCUUGCGCUCUUCACUACUGCAGGAGAAAUGUUUCUAAGCAAUCUAAAAGCUCAACUCUCCCUUUAUCAACUAUUCUUCAGUGUGUUUUGGUCCCCUGCACACAUCUUCAUGGGUAUUAUUGAUCCCAGUCAAUUCACAAACAGCAGAAAGGGCUAUGCUGAAAGAGCAAAUUGUUCCUAUUGAGUAACCUUGCCCUACUUUAGCUUAUGUGCAGCGUUGGGAGGGAUCAUGUAGCUACGUGUAGUUUGUCUAUUGAUAGAGUUUCGAUGGUCUCACAACCACGGGGACCCACAAAACGUUUUCCUACCACUUGGGGCCUGAUGCUCAGUAAUGCUCAGCAUCCUGUCCCCUUCCUGCCUCAGCCUCCUGCUGAGAUAAGUAAGAAUUCUAGCAAAAGGAGGAGCCUCAGCUGAUUUCAGCAGUGUUGCAGGUGCUGGAUCAGGCAUAGUCUUAAAAACAGAACUUCCUGCACAUCACUCAAAUGAGGGAGUGGAAUUGUGUGUACAGUGUUGCACAGUCAGGUUGGAACAGGACAUGGGGAGGACGGGAUGGGGAACUGCUCUGCAGGACAUGCAGCCUGCAGGAGGCCUUCCCUCCCCUACACCAUCCUCCCUCCCCAUGUGUGUACCCCAUGUGUGUACCCCAAGUACCCAGAGGCAGCCUUGUGCCAACCCAUCUGGCACGGGAUCUGGCUUCCAUUUCCCAGUGCAAGACAGAGGCCUCUCCCACAUGUUCCUCACCUUUAACAAUCAUUAGCUCCUGAGUUCUGAAGGUUUAAUAGACUUCUCACCUGGAAUAUGCAUUAUUCCAUUUGCUCUUCCAUCUCUGGGCAUGCAGGACGUGCUGCUGCUGGUUCUCCUGCUGUUGGGAUCUGCAGUCAGGGGACUUCUUGAGGCACUUUCCCCAAAGAAAUUCCCCUGGAACACCGGAGAGAAGGAAGAGGAAAGGAAGUUCUCUCCUUACCAUGAGUAAGGUGCUUACCUUGGGAAAGACCCUUAUAUCAGUGAUCGACCUUGGUAGCAAAGUGAUGGGCUCAUCUGUCUCCAUCCUAACCCUCUGUGGACAGGCUUUCUGGUAAAACCCCCAAGCCUCAGAACUCCCAGGGAUCAGUGUCCUCCUUGGCAGUUCCUAAUAACCAUCAAAACCAUGAGGAGACACGUGCUGCCCAUUGCUACUCUUAUGAACCAACCAAAGCUAUGGUGCUUCCCAAGUGAAAACCAGAGCAGGUCCAGUACCCCAAGUCCUGCUUUAAUCUUGAUUUGCUUCACUUUUCUCAUUCUAAAUGGGAUGUUUGGUGUGAACCAUGGGUUAAGUUUUGGAGACUUUCAUCUCUUAGUUGCUGGGUCAAGUGAGCUUUGCAGCUUACCAGCACUUCACAGCCAGCAUUCGCUGUACAUAAAUGGCAUUACUUACUAGAGGGUACAUAUUUGUCAAAGCCUUACAUUUUCUGGUAUAAUUGCUAUUCUUGAAUGCCUCCAUUUUUUGACAAGGGGUGUUUUUAGCCUUUUUAAAGUCCUUGCUUGAACCCUGGUUGAUGUUUGUACUGCUAAAGCAAGCAUGCUGUGUACUCCCCUAGCGCUGUUCUGACUGCACUGCAGCAGCUGUGUGAGAUGGUGGUUUCUGGACCGUACUCAUGGGUAGGAAACCAGCACAGUGCUCCUCUGCUUUCUCCCUCACAGCAGCCAAGAAGUCAUUGAUUGUGAUGAGCUCUGCAGUUGUGCCUCUGUAAAGAAGGGGAGUGCUCUCUAAAUGAGAGAAGACCUCAUCUUAGGUUUCAGCAGCCGGUGUGUGGAGGCCGAGGAGGAGGUUAUGAGCUCAUAGUCUACACAGAACACCACAUAAUGUGGCCGUGAGGAAAGUCCUCAUUAAUUUUUAAAGCUGCACUCCACCAGGACAGCUCCCAGCACACGCUGGAACUUCACACUGGAAUAACAAAGCUGCUGUGUCCUGUGAAGCUCCUCUCCCCCAGCCUGUUGUUAAACCAGGUCCUUUGGCCAAACUGAUCCUAGGAUAGCACCGCUGUCUGCUUGCAGGCUACACCCAGGCCAGGAUGAGGCCCAUUAAUUCUGCAUUCCUUCCUCUUCUCUCUUAGGAUUAUUUUCAGUAGUUAA